ACCGGUUCUCAUACGAUCACCGAAGUUAAGCAAAAUCGAGCUUGGUCAGUACCUAGAUGGGUGACAUGUUGGGAAUGCCAGGUGCUGUAAG